GAUGAACGCUGGCGGCGUGCCUAAUACAUGCAAGUCGAGCGAACGGACGAGAGGCUUGCUUCUCUGAUGUUAGCGGCGGACGGGUGAGUAACACGUGGAUAACCUACCUAUAAGACUGGGAUAACUUCGGGAAACCGGAGCUAAUACCGGAUAAUAUUUUGAACCGCAUGGUUCAAAAGUGAAAGACGGUCUUGCUGUCACUUAUAGAUGGAUCCGCGCUGCAUUAGCUAGUUGGUAAGGUAACGGCUUACCAAGGCAACGAUGCAUAUCCGACCUGAUAGGGUGAUCGGCCACACUGGAACUGAGACACGGUCCAGACUCCUACGGGAGGCAGCAGUAGGGAAUCUUCCGCAAUGGGCGAAAGCCUGACGGAGCAACGCCGCGUGAGUGAUGAAGGUCUUCGGAUCGUAAAACUCUGUUAUUAGGGAAGAACAUAUGUGUAAGUAACUGUGCACAUCUUGACGGUACCUAAUCAGAAAGCCACGGCUAACUCCGUG
rnacentral:rRNA from 1 species